GCCCUUGUAGCUCAGUGGUAGAGCGCAGCACUUGUAUGGACACUUCCUCAUAUGCUGAGGUCUCAGGUUCAAUCCCUGGCGGGGGCA